UUUUUAUUUAUUAUUAUAUAAUAAUAUUAUAAAUAUUUUGCAGGAAUCUUUUACGGAAGCCCGGAUAUAUUUUUAUUUUAACGAAAAUAAUUUUAAUAAUAAUGCAAAUAAAAUUAUUUACGCAAUUUUAUUUUAAAAAAACAACGGGUUCGUUCAAUUCGAAUUAAUUUUGGGAAAUUAUUUGGAUUAUAAUAAAAAAAAACCGUGAAAUUAAAAUUAAUCGUAUUUUCGACAAUUAUAAUAAUUUCGAAAAAUAUUCUAGGAAAAUAUUUGGUAAUUGAAACGAAAAACGUACGGUUAAACGUAAAUUGGUGCAUUUUACCUAAACCAAAUUAAUAUUUAAAUAUACCAGUAAAUUUCGACAAAUUACCGCCAAAUUAUUAUAAAGAAAAAAUUUAAAUAAUACGUUUUUAUGCGGAAUUUAAAAACAAAAUUAAAAAUAAUUUAAUUAAAAAAAAAUAACUCAAUAUAUUAAUAAAAUAUAUGGAAUUAACGGUUAAAAUUAAUAACCGAUUUUAUAAACGGGAAUUGGAAUGACGCGAAAAACGUAACGUAUAAAAUCCAAUUUUGCGAUAAAUUAAUAUAAAACGCAAAUACCAAUACCCCAAAGCGUUUCGUUAAUAUAAUAUCGCGUACAAUAUAUAAAAUAAAUUUAUAAAUUUAAACGUAAUUUAAUAUUAAUAAUUUCGCCAAAAUCCCAAAGAUAAUAAAUAUUUUAAAUAUAAUAAUCAAAAUAUAUUACGCGAAAUUGUUUUAAAAUACAUAAUAAUACCCCGGAAUUUAUUAUUAAUUUUAAAAACAAAUCCGAAAAACCACAAAAAUUCAAUAUUAUUAAUUGUAACCAAAUAUAAUUUAAUUAACAUAAUAUAAUAAAUUGGAUUAUUCAUUAUAAUAGCAAUUAUAUAAUUUAUAAUAAUUCCAAAAUUAAUAUAGGUUAAUACCCGUAAAAAUCCCGAAAUAUUCGAAUUUUAACGGUAAAAAAUCGGAUAUUUAUUCAAAUAAAACAACCAAUUAAUUUAUACCGAUAAAACGUUAAAUUACCCGAAUUUAUAAAUUUAGACGUUUUAGGAAAAUCGGAUGCGGAAUUAUUAAAAUAAAUUUACCGUAUUAAAAUAACAAAUUAAUUAUUAACCGAAAAAUCGAACGACGAAUUUAAAAAAAAUUCCAGCGAUAAAAAAAACGUAGUUUUAAAUAUAUAUAGUAUAAUAAAAACCAAUAAUUUAUAUAAAUUUAAAAAAAACAAAUCGAUUUAUACCGGGACCAAUUAAUAUAAUUUCUAAAUUAUAUUUUAAUUUAGCAAAAACGGGAUUUUAUAAAACAUAUAAUACCAAUAUUUAAAAAUUAUUCCAAAUUAAAUACCGCAUACCAGAAAUAUAUUUGUAUUUUUUAAAUUAAAUAUUUCCGAAAUAAUUACGAAAUUUAUUUAAAUAAAAACAUUUACUAUAAUUUUUUCCUAUUAUAAUAAUUAAUAACUGGAAUUUACGAAAUUUAUAUAAUUUAAAAAUUACCCAAUUGGGAAAUUAAAAUUAAAUUCCGAAACGAAUUAGCGGUUAUUUUUAUAUUUAACGAUAAAUAUCCCAUAACGUAUUAUUAUUAAUCCAAUUUCCCAUAAUAUAAAUAUAUUCGCAAUAUAUAUAAAAUGUAUAUAUUAACCAAAAUUUAAAAUUGGUACGUACGAAAAUAAUAAUACCAAAUAGUUGCAUUUAUAAUUAAAAUUAUAUAAAAUCCACAAAUAAAAAACUAACAAAUAUUUAUAAAUGCGCGCAAAAUACCAAUAUUAAUAAAAUAUCCAUUUAAUUAAAUUAAAAUAAAAAAUAAUUAUACGCCCCAAAAUAAAAAAACCAAAAAUUUAUAACGCGAAUUUAAUAAAUUAAAAAAUUAAAAUAACCAGACGGUAUAGGGUACCGAACGGCGAAAACGGAAAUAAAAACUUUAAACGUUACGCAAAAUACGAUAAUAAAAUACAAAUAUAUAUUUUUUAAUAUACGAUUUAAUAAUAAAUCUAUACAAAUAACUUUCGAUAAUAAAAUAUAAAAUAAUUAUAUAUUCCCAAAAAUUGUAAAAAAA
rnacentral:sRNA from 1 species